rnacentral:misc_RNA from 1 species
AACUUUUGGCAAUGGAUCACUUGGUUCUGGCAUCGAUGAAGAACGCAGCGAAAUGCGACAAGUAAUGUGAAUUGCAGAAUUCAGCGAAUCAUCGAAUCUUUGAACGCACAUUGCGCCCCUUGGUAUUCCGGGGGGCAUGCCUGUUCGAGCGUCAUUUCAACCCUCACGCGUAGCGUGGUCUUGGGCUCUGCCAGCAACGGCUUGCCUUAAAAUCAGUGGCGGUGUCCUCGAGCUCUACGCGUAGUAAUAAACCCCUCGCGUGUGAGUCUCGGCGGUCGCUUGCCAGCAACCCCCAAUUUUUUAUGGUUGACCUCGAAUCAGGUAGGGAUACCCGCUGAACUUAAGCAUAUCAAUAAGCGGAGGCG